AAUGGGACUCUCCUCUCUGUCUCUUCCGCUUCAUAUCCACCGUGGCGAGAGAAACGGGCCGACAUUUCAUUUCGGUUCAACCAGUAAUGGCUCUAGCUAGCUUCUCCAACCCUGGAUGUCUGCGUAGAAUGCAGGUAUUGGGUAUUGCUGAAAAUGAGGAGAAAGAGAAGACCAAAAGAGAUGCAGGUGACCCUCAUGGUUGACCAACAAGCGACUGGAUGAGGACAGCUCGUGUCAAGGAAUCGCUCUCAUGAUCCUAAAGUCUGGUAUUGUGAGGCUGCGUGGGCUCUCCAACCUUCCUGGUUAAGGUACAUGGCGUGGUGAGCACCACAAUGUGGAGCGUUGGGAAUCCUGAACUGCUGCAGGCCACCCACAAGGGGAACACUUCACUCAGAUUGACUCAACUCUGAAGCAUGAAUAUGUUUUGAUUUGUACUGUGACUUUUUGGGGAAAGUAACAGCAAUCCUUAAGUUUUCACUCAAUUCAAAACUGGCUAGAUGGUCAUUAACAUGUAAGUGGUGAAUUUCUAUUAAUGGAGAAACGGACGAGUUUGAAAACUGAAUGUAAUAAAAACAACUU